UACGUAGGGACCAAGCGUUGUUCGGAUUUACUGGGCGUAAAGGGCGCGUAGGCGGCUUGACAAGUCACUUGUGAAAUCUCCGGGCUUAACUCGGAACGGCCAAGUGAAACUGUCAUGCUAGAGUGCAGAAGGGGCAAUCGGAAUUCUUGGUGUAGCGGUGAAAUGCGCAGAUAUCAGGAGGAACACCAAUGGCGAAGGCAGCUCGCUGGGACGUGACUGACGCUGAGACGCGAAAGCGUGGGAGCAAACAGG
rnacentral:rRNA from 1 species